rnacentral:rRNA from 1 species
CGUGUAGGCGGUCAGGUAAGUGGAAUGUGAAAGCCCCCGGCUCACCCGGGGAUCUGCAUCCCAUACUGCCUGGCUUGAGUACGGGAGAGGAUAGGGGAAUUCCUGGUGUAGCGGUGAAAUGCGUAGAUAUCAGGAGGAACACCGGUGGCGAAGGCGCCUAUCUGGCCCGAUACUGACGCUGAGGCGCGAAAGCUAGGGGAGCAAACG